rnacentral:rRNA from 1 species
UACGUAGGGUGCAGGCGUUUAAUCGGAAUUACUGGGCGUAAAGCGUGCGCAGGCGGUUUGCUAAGACAGGUGUGAAAUCCCCGGGCUUAACCUGGGAACUGCGCUUGUUACUGGCAGGCUUGGAGUGUGGCAGAGGGGGGUGGAAUUCCGACGUGUAGCAGUGAAAUGCGUAGAGAUGUGGAGGAACACCGAUGGUGAAGGCAGCCCCCUGGGCUAACACUGACGCUCGAUGCACGAAAGCGUGGGGAGCAAACAGG